CCUUUGAUAGCUCAGCUGGUAGAGCGGAGGACUGUAGAUCCUUAGGUCGCUGGUUCGAUUCCGGCUCAAAGGA